GGCCCAGACUCCUACGGGAGGCAGCAGUGGGGGAUAUUGCACAAUGGGGGGAACACUGAUGCAGCGACGCCGCGUGGGUGAAGAAGUCUUUCGGUAUGUAAAGCCCUAUCGGCAGGGAAGGAAUUGGACGGUACCUGACUAAGAAGCCCUGGCUAACUACGUGCCAGCAGCCGCGGGAAUACGUAGGGGGCAAACGUUAUCCGGAUUCACUGGGUGUAAAGGGAGCGUAGACGGCCAUGCAAGCCUGGAGUGAAAGCCCGGGGCCCAACCCCGGGACUGCUCUGGGAACUGUGCGGCUGGAGUGCGGGAGGGGCAGGCGGAAUUCCUGGUGUAGCGGUGAAAUGCGUAGAUAUCAGGAGGAACACCGGCGGCGAAGGCGGCCUGCUGGACCGCGACUGACGUUGAGGCUCGAAAGCGUGGGGAGCAAACAGGAUUAGAUACCCGAGUA
rnacentral:rRNA from 1 species